GGCACGGGGAGAGGAGGUGGCACAAACAGCCCUUUCUGCUGGCCACCACUUGGCUUCAUCCCCAGCACUGCUUGGGUGGGCUGCCUGCCCUGGUUGCCCCCCACCCCUGAGCAUGGGGUUGUGCCAGUGCUGCUCUGAGUGUUCACUGAGGAACAGCUCCCUGCUUUCCCUCCACCCACAUCCACCUCCUGAGAGGAGGAUCCACACUGUUCACGUUAGUGCCUGGUCCCCUGUCAAGAGCUCCUGCAGGCAGCCAGGAGCUGCUCCUAAUGGGCUGCCAGGGGAUUUGGGAUCUGACAGCUGGGUGCUGACAGCUCCCUGCAACUGCUCGCUCCAGCUGCUGAGCGCUCCUCUCCCUGGUAAGAUGGAGAAGGAUGCUCUAACCACCACAGGGAGGAGGCUGGCUCCUUUUUCUCCCUUCACCAGGUGUUUGUGAUGGUGCUGGAGGGUUGUGGUACCCACUGCCCUGGUGGGGCUGGUAAAGCCUUGGGGGACAAUGGUGGUACAAGCAGAGGGAUGCCAGGCUGGAGGAGCUCCUGCAGGGUGGUGCUCCCAGAUGGGCACUGUGAGAGGGAAGGAGGUCUGAGUGUUGCACAGAGCAAGUCUUGUCGCAGCUCCUAGCAGGGAGCUGGGAUGGGAGGCCCUUGUUUGCUGGGAGAGCUGGGAGCAAGUGCUGACACCUCCUGGGGCUCCCUUUGCAGCAGCUCUGGGGCCUCCCAAGCUUUCUCCUGGCUGACACAUCGCCUCUCUCCUCUGUUUGAUGCAGGGCUCCUGUGUGUCCCCACAGACCCCAUACAGGGGCUGGGGGGAAUCCUGGGGGCUCCCUGGGGUCCGGCUCCAUCCCAGCAGGGCCGUGGCAGCCCGGGCAGAGGGACUGUCCAAUCAUCCUCCAGCACAGAGCAUCUCCCAGCCUGCUGUCUUGUAUGGCUUUUUAUUCCUAUGUGAUUAUACAUCCCACUUCAUAUAGGGAUUGAAGCCGUGCACUACGCCGGGCUCCUGCGGCAGAGAGCAGCCCCUGUGCCCCGGGAGCCGGCCUUGGAGGAGCCACCAGAGCUGUCCCCCGGGGGCUGGAGGAGGACUGCUGGCCUCAGCCUGGGCUCCAUCCUGCAUCCCAGGCUCCCCAGCCCUCUUGGGAUGCAGGUGAGGGGUGCCAGGCUGCUUUGGGGUGAGGCCGGCACAAGCCCACUCCUUGCAUUGCACCCCUUUGCAAGGGUGGGCCUGGUUCUGCACCACAUCUGUGUGGAGAGCCCCAGUGACUGCACUGGUGGGCUCCUCCCUGGGGAAUCUGCUGCUCUGCUUUUGUCCCCAACUAUCCUGGGAUAUGCAGCAUCUGUGUGCAGGCACUGCCAGCAGCACAGGGGAGGAAGAAGAGGAAAAAGAUGCUGAGGAAUGGCCACAACAGCAAGGGCUGCCCCAGGCACGAUGCUCUUCAAGGUUUCUCAAGAGGCCUCAGCCAUUCUUUCAAGCUUUACUCCCAUGAGGCCAAUAUCCCAUCCAGGACAGCAAGGACAAGCUGCAAAGCCUGCUCAGCUGUGGUGACUCACUUGAGUUCCCAAUGGGAAAGUCAUUGCUCCUGCCAAGCCCUGCCAGCCCAGAGGCAAAUCACUACCAGUCAGGUAAGCGAUGCUCUCUCCCGUGUGUAAGAUUUGUGUUAUCUCACAAAUCCUGUUAAACCUGGCCAGUGGGGCCCAAAGGUAUGUUGGCUCAUGCAUGGGGCCUUUUGACCUUUUGUGAAGGCACUGCAGGUCAGAGGGAGCUGGCCUUGGGCUGGAGUGAUAGCAGACAAUUCCCUGCUGAGCACUGUCCAGAGAAAUAAGAUGCUGCUUUGUCUGUGAGGGCUGAGCACACUCCAAUGCUCCUUUUGUCCCUAGGCAGUUGCACAGGGUCCUGCAAAGCAACCCCUUGGAAAUGGAGCUUUGAGUUAUUCAGGUAGAAGCACCAGAGAAGUAUUUCUGUAGCCUGGGUGUUCUUGCUGAACCUCCCCCUGGCCUGUUAUCUCCUCAUUAGGAAAGAAAGGACAAGAACAAAAAUCCAUAUAUGGCAGCCAAGCAAAGGUAGAUGGGAAAUGCACUUCAAACAGCUCCAUCCUUUCAACAAACCUUUUAUUAGACUUCUCCCCAACACACACUCUUUAAUCGUUAUGAAAAGCCACCAUUCAGGAAGCAAGGACACUGCUCAGGCUACCUGGAGCAGGCAUUUCCCAGGAGAAGCCAGCCAGCAGUAGCCCAAGGUCCUCUGGAAUUGACUGGGAGGCAGCACAAGCAGCAGCUCCGAGUCCAGGGUGGUGCUCAGCAGUGUGGCAGAGCUGUGGGCAGGGGGUUGUGGUGGCCCUGUGGCAGUGCGCCCAGGCUGGCACACUGGUCUGCAGCUGAAGUGACCCUUCUGCCAGGCACCCCAGCCCCAAGGCAGAGUCAGUCUGCAUUCUGCUGGAGCAGAAUGGCCCAGGGAGCACCCAGCACCCUGUGGAGCCAGCAGAAUGGCCCAGGGAGCACCCAGCAGUGUGGAGCCAGCAGAAUGGCCCAGGGAGCACCCAGCACCCUGUGGAGCCAGCAGAAUGGCCCAGGGAGCACCCAGCAGUGUGGAGCCAGCAGAAUGGCCCAGGGAGCACCCAGCACCCUGUGGAGCCAGCAGAAUGGCCCAGGGAGCACCCAGCACCCUGUGGAGCCAGCAGAAUGGCCCAGGGAGCACCCAGCAGUGUGGAGCCAGCAGAAUGGCCCAGGGAGCACCCAGCAGUGUGGAGCCAGCCUCACCCAGCUGUCCUGGCUGCAGCCCACACUCGUGGCUGUGUGGCUGCCCAUGUUAGUGCCCCAUGGAACUGCCCUGCUGGGCACGGAGCAGGCGACCUGCCAGCGACCUCUGGAGAAAAACACAGGGCACAAAGCAGCUUCUCCUGCACAACCACCCCCUGACAUUACAGGGGGCACAGCGAGCUCUGUAACGCUUGGCAGAUUUUCCCCAGCAGAUCUGGGAGCUGUUUGCCACUGUGAGCAAGUUCAGGCAUGUUACAAAAGACCUUCAGACUCUGAGGACAAAUGAGAUGCGUGGAUGAGUUUAAACCACCGGACAAGGCUGGGAUUUUCAAAUUCCCAGGGUUGUGCCUUAUUCUGAGCCUGGGCUGUAGCCCAAACAGUCCAGCUGCCAGCCUGGCAUUGACACCAGGCCCCACGAUGGUCCUGCUGAUAUCCCUACUUGUUAGAUACUGGCUUCAAAACCAAAAUAGAAGGUUUUGCAUCCUCCUCAAAACCCCACCCUCUGAUCCACCUUGAAGUGGGGUGCAGAACAAGUGACUGUUCAGUGAGACACCACAGGGUGUUGGCACAAGGGUGUAUUUAUGUCACGAGAUGAGAUCAGCCACACGGAGUAGGUCGGUCUGUCUGGAAAGAGUCUGAGUCAAGCGUGUCCUAUUACAUUAGAGCUGGAUUUUCAAAGGAGCUCAGCUCCCACUUAGGCUCUGUAACAAACAGAUGGAUAUUCAAAAGGAGUUGGACGUGCUGGGUCAUACUGGCUGCUGAGCUAAAGCCCUUUGAAUACCCAGCCAAACCGUCAGUGUGCCUGUUGCUGCAGGCAUAGCCCUCCUGAAAUCCUGCCCCACUGUGAGCUCCACAUCCUGGGAAACCAAGCUCAUCUCUGCUCUCCCACAUACCACACUGCAGUAGGUGACAAAAAUGUGAUAACCAGUGUCCUCGUGCAUGUUGGGGGAGCAGCUCCCUGUCAGAGCACAGCUCUGGCAGAUCUGCCCUUUGAUCAGCUCAGCAGUAUGGGUCAGGAGAGCUGAGCACGAAGGUUUCCUUGUCUUUUGUUCUGUGGAAUUAGCAGAGUUAAUCAGAAUGACAGCAACUUCUGCCUCAGUGCAGAGGAAAGGUCAGUGGCUCAGGCUGGAUGCACGACAGUUUUCUAGACAGUUGGAAAACAACACCAUGAAAGCUCACAGCAUACAUGCUGCUGGCACACAGGCUCUCCCAACAGGGACCAGCGGGGAAGAUGUUGCUGUGGAGGGAAGGAGGCUGGAGGAGGACUCCACGCAGCUGGCUUGUCACUGCACUUCGUCCAUCCCCAUCCUUACACUGUACAGUGAAGGUAUGUUGUCCUCUUUGUCACUGUGCACUGCUUGUGUCACCCAGCCAGUACCUAAGAAGCCAAUGUGCUUCUUAGCCACACUCCUGGGUGUGCAUCCUGCUGGGCCUGGGGUCUCUGUCAUCUCAGUACCCUGGUGUGGGAAGAGCUGUCAGGCACUGUGCUGGCUUGUGGAGCAGGUGCUGGGUGUCCCCUUCCCAGCACAUCCCCUCAGCAGCUCCAUGCUUCAGGUGAGCAGGCCUUGCUGUAACUGCUUUACAUCCUUCAGUCACUGUAAUUUGCUCCAGUGGACCCCUAAAACCCCUCUGCUGAGCUGCUCUUCAGCUGGGGGCACUGGAAGUGCAACAGUGCAGCAAGGGGCUCUCUGUGGUAGCCCUGCCAUGGCCUCAACUUCCCUACAUCCCUUAAAUUAACUAUAGCUGGAGCAGUCACAAGCCUUAAAUCGUUUCCUUGUCUGUAAUAUGACCUCUUACCUUCCUCUGAUCCCACCAAUUACAAGUGCUUGUUUUUGCUGUGGAUGUCCACUCAUGUGUCUAAUUAGUGGAUUCUUUCUGUCAAAGACACUAGCAGCCUCAACAGUGAGCCCUGUUUUAAGUAGUUUGCAUUUGUCCACAGCAUUGGUGCUUUCAUUUACUCCUGCUCUUAAUUAAGAGCAUCUGGGUGUCUGCAGAGGGAGGUCUCAUGAUCUCUCCAUGGCUCUAAUUAAAAUGGCCUGGAUGUCCAUGACAUUGGUGCCUGUCAAGCCUGUCACCAGGAGGUGAUGCCCACCUUGGAACUGGCUGAAGAACGUGUAGGAGUCAUUGUUCCUGAGAAAGGCCUCCACAUCCAGGCCCUCCUGAAGUGCCUCAGCCACCAGCCCUGGGCUGCAGAAGGCUCCUGCUGCCUCCGUUGGCCCAUCCUGCCCAUCUGUUCCCCCGCUGAGGAAGAGGAUCUCACACCUCCCUUGGGGGCUGCUGGCUCCUGUGGCCUGGGCCCUGUGCAGCCCCAGCCCCACACGCAGGGCCAGCUCCUGGUUUCUCCCUCCCUUGCCCGUUCCUUGGAGCUGGACCGUGGUUUCUCCACCAGCCAGGAUGCAGACUGGUCUGUCGGGCCCUAGUCCUUGCAGGGCCUGUAGAAACUCCUCCAGGUGCAAGCCUGGGAUCUGCAGCUCUGCUGCCAGCUGCAGGAGAUUGCCCCUCAGCUCGUCCCCCAGGGGCCCUUCUGCGAGGCUGCUGAAGCCCAGGCAGAGCAGCUGGAUCAGCUGGCAGUACAGGGUGGCAACACGGCCCACUUCCCCCUGCACUGCUGCGCUCAGCACCAGGGCUGCAUAGCCCAGGCCCUCAGCCUGGCGCCUGGCCUCCUCCAAAGCCAGCCUGUUGGAGCCAAGGAUGAUGUUGGAAACGUGGGAGUAGUUUUCUGGAGCAGUGGGUUUGGUGGGAGAGCUGGAGAGGACCAUUUCCACUGACUUGGGCAGGCUGUGCAGCAGGUUGUACUUGGUGAGUAUCUGAAGGCAGUCUUGGACACUGUGGGAGCUGGGAGCAGUGGGCCCACUUGCUAUGAUGUCCAGGGGGUCACCUAUCACAUCAGACAGGAUGAGACUCACCACCUAUGGAAAGAAAUGCCCACAGAUUAUUGCAGGAGGCAAAGAUUGGUGACCACAAAAGAGCCCUGGCAUAAGCACUGCUCUGAGUGCCACCCCCACAUCAAAGCAGAUGGAAACAGGGUAGGUCACCCAUUUUCAAUUUAUGGACCUGUGAGUGUCACCUUGCCCUUCUCAAACCCACAGAUUUACAGUCCCCUUUGAAGCUGGACUGUCAUGCUGGAAGAUGUAACCUGUGACACUGCACUUGUCAGGCCCAACCUAGUGUGGGUUCAGCAAUGGGACACGCUGAGAACAGCUCCCAGAGGAGCCAAGGGUCAGGGCCAGCCUUGAAAGCACUGUGCUGAAGCACCAACACCUGGAAGUGCCUGCUGGCUGUGGGCUAGGGUCUGCAGAGUGGCGUGAUGGGAUGGCUGAUGUUUCCCAAGUCUGAAUUCCCACUCUCCCAGCUCUGUCUCCCUGAGAAUUUUGGUCCAAAGUGAAAUCUCAGCCAGAGAGCCCCAAAACAGUGUGCAAAGCUGUUCACUCAGUCUGGACAAAAACCUGGCAAGUUGAUUAAACCUGUGUUUUGAGGGCAGAUGGGUGCUCUCUGGGCAAACAGGAGCUUUCCCUUGGUUACCCGUGCAGGAUGUGCCAGCUGGGCCAGCCCUCCACCCUUCAGCACGGACAGAGUCUUCCGGACAAUGUUCAGCUCCUGUAUGGCAGCUCCUCGGGAAGCCAACAGCUUUGUGAGCUUCUCCUUCUCCUCGAGGAGGAUGGGAGGGAUGGGAGCAGGCAGUAGGGCUGAUCCACCCCCUAGGAUGCAGAAGAGAUGGCAAGGACAUCAGGAUAGCAGGAGAAGGAGGACAAAGGAUGUAAGAUGCAAGGCUUUAGCCUUUUCCCUCACAGGUGUCUGGAGGGAGGGCAGGGGUGAUUGGGGACCUAAGCUAACAUCUCUGGAGAAUUCAGUGCUCUUCAACAAUGGGUUUGAAUCACUGCUGUGCUGCACUCUCUGCAGUCAGCUACACUUCACCCAGGCAGUGUGAGCCUGGCUGGAUGGGGGCACCACAAGCCUGCAGUGUGGUGGGGAUGACAGAAGAGGGACAGCAGCCACCCUCACCUCUGCACUGGGCUGCAGCUGGCUCCUCACACUGAUAUUCAGGGGUUACCUGGCUGGGUGAGCAGGGAGCAUGGCCUCCAUGGCUCACACAGCAGCCAGUGCUGUGCACAUGGGGACACUGCCUGCUCUGGUGGCUCUGUUUAUUCAGGACAGUGUGCAAAAACACUGGCUAGGGAUACAGCAAGAUUGGAAACUGCUGAACUGCACUCAUCUAGGUCUGGGAGGAAAGAAAAGGGGGGACAGUAAUGCAAAGGACAAAGCACACUCUGAGUCCAGGGUGAUAGCUUCACUUCUGGGAAUUCUAGAAAUGUGGAAAAGAAGGCCAUGUUCUAAUGGAAAAGUGGAAUGGAUUGAAAAUACAGAGGAGAAAAGAGCAAGGUCUGUGCACAGAGUGAACGUGCACAGAAGUACAGCUGAAUGCUACUGUCAAAAUGCAAAGCCUGCUCAGAGGUUUGAGACAAAUCAGCAUCAAUAAAACAUGAUGAGCAAGAAAAACAAA